UGUUGGAAGUUGCAAGAACUUUUCUGAUAGAUUUCAGCAGAACUAAGAAUUACUUGAUUCUAUUGUUGACUUGAUCUCUGCUUUUUGAAACUUUGGACCAGUCUGCGGGUGAGAUGAGUCUUCUGCUUAUUAACACAAGUAUGAAAAAUAGCUCAUGUUCAAGAUCACAGCAUGCAUAGGAGUCCAAACCAUCUUGAGAUAUUGGACAAAGGAAUUAGAGGUCAGCUGGGCAGAAAAAUGUCAGUGUCUUAUGUCUACGCUGGAUAGAAGAAGAAUUAAGAGACUUAUUGAUUCGAGGAAGAUUUAGACCAGUCACUGAGGAGGAACUAGCAGGAAGAGAUUUUCAAGGCAGGUCCUUGGGCUGUGUGUGGCAAUUGGGCACGUACCUGUUGGAAAUGCUUCAGGCAGAGAGCAACCUGUCUGUAGAGCCCCGGUACAGCAGGGUGCUGGCCUGAAACCAAUGUUCUGUGGGACUGGAGCCAGAAACAGGAUCAGGGUUGCAGGAAGAACCCUGAAAAGAAAGGCUCUUCUUUCAGAAAGUGGAGCUCCAUGAGCUGUCGGCAUCCCAGGGGCAGAGCAGAGGCAGAUUUUGGCUGUGAAGUUGACCCAGCCAAUGCCACGCAGGACAAGGUGGCAUUGAGAAGGUCCACAGCAGCAGCAUGUGUGCUGGAGGGGAACCACAAGCCGUGAAGGAUAGGGCAAAAGUGCCCGCUUCAUAAAUACACAUAAACAAACAAAACAGCUCACCAGCAGACAAGUAAGUGGUCUCUGAUCCAGGCAAGCAUGAUUGUUUCUCCAAUUUCUUCCCUCUCUCCAUCCUCACCAGCUCUUCCAGUUGUUUUCAGCAGCGUUCUUGAAUGAAUAAGUCAGAAUAAAGACACACGGGAAAACCCAGCAAUAAGAAACCUGAAGAGUCGUGGAUGGAGCAAAUUAAAAGUUCUGCCCAAGUGCGUGCAUGACACACUGUGCUUACCCGUCUGCACUAAUGACAGUGCUUCCUCUGAAUGCUUUUCUUCAGCUUCCUUAUUAAUUAAAACACGCCUUUUAGAAAUGGCAGUCGGUGUAAUGAGAAGGACAGCCCCUGUUAUUAAUGCUGAACUCAUUCAAUCUCUUAUGCACGCUUGGUGCUGUGAAUGGCCACAGUGUUUUGGCAAUGCAUGCAUCAGCUUCAGGGGGGGAAAAAAAGCACUUUUAACACCUGAGAACCAGCAAAGCAGAGACAGGAAUGGCAAACCACAGUGACUGCUGUGUUCUUAUCCUCUGGUUCAUGGCUCACACUGCACUGGAGCACGGAGCAUGUUGUGAUCCCGGAGCUGUUCCAGCUCAUGGCACCACGGCUUGCACCCCAAGAGAGCACUAAAGCAGUAAGUGGGUGCAAGCACAUGUGCCCCAAGGGCUGCCUCAGCUGCAGCAGCUGCUAUCAUAUUUUGUUUCGAGAGAACAUAAGUCUAUUUUUUUUAAUUUUCUUGGUUUCUAUUGAUCCCAGUGUUCCCAUUUACAGAAUUCAGUGCUUCAGUGACCAUGGUUUCUCCUCUGCGAAGGCCCUCCUGUUGCCUUAGAAAAUUAUCAUCCCGUUUACUUAAUUAGGCUGACUCCAAGCUUUAGGCAUCGGCCUGCCAAGAUGAUGCACACAGCGUAUGACACCUGUCAGUUGACUUCAAUGACUGCUCACCACUUCUUCGUGUUCUGCACCUCCCACAAGUCAGCUCCACAGAUGUGUCAGGAACGCUUCCUGAUGACUGCAUUGUAACAAAUGUGCAGGCGUAAGUCUCCUGGAUUUGCAGGAAGUUGUACAGAAUGGUCCAAUAGGUCAUCUUCAUCUCUGGCUUAUGUGGUAAUAAAGGAAUAAUAAAAACGAAGGUUGCAAAGCAUUCUUUCCAUGACUGAAUCAGCUGGCUUUUUUAUGGGCCAGUUAUUCACUGAGCAAUAAAUAUUCAUGGGCUUUUCAGCAAAGACAUGGUGCAUAAUUAGUCUUGAGCGC
rnacentral:lncRNA from 1 species